rnacentral:pre_miRNA from 1 species
AAAGUACUCCCUCCAUCCCAAAAUUCUUGUCUUAAAUUUGUCUAGAUACGGAUGUAUCAAGUCACAUUUUAGUAUUAGAUACAUCCGUAUGUAGACAAAUCUAAGACAAGAAAUUUGGGACAGAGGGAGUAGUUG